AGAUUAACUCUUGUACCUUUUGCAUCAUGAAUUAGCCAGCACCCUCAAGCAAAAAGAAUUUAAGUUUGACACCCCGAAACCGAGCGAGCUACUCCAGGACAGCCUAUGAAUAGGGCGAACCCAUCUCUGUGGCAAAAGAGUGGGAAGAGCCUCGAGUAGAGGUGACAGACCUACCGAGCUCGGCCAUAGCUGGUUGUCUGGGAACUGAAUAGAAGUUCAGCCUCCCGGCUUCUUCCCAGACCGAGAGAGUUAGUCAAAAGGGGUACAGCCCUUUUGACACAAGAUACAACUUCUCCAGGAGGGUACCGAUCAUAACUAAUCAAGGGAAAAUAACCCAAGUGGGCCUAAAAGCAGCCACCUUAAUAGAAAGCGUCCAAGCUCAAGCACCUAAUUCCGAAAACCAACUCAAAACCCCCUAAAAAUACCAGACCCCUUCGUGCCCGCACGAAGAAGACUAUGCUACUACGAGUAAUAAGAGAACCCUCUCUCCUGACACAUGUGUAAAUCGGAUUGGACCCCCCACCGAAACUUAACGGCCCCAAACGAAGAGGGGAAAAAGAAAAAACUAGAAAACCACUUACCGUUAACCCUACACUGGUGUGUUCUCAAGGAAAGACUAAAAGAAAGAGAAGGAACUCGGCAAACAAGCCUCGCCUGUUUACCAAAAACAUCGCCUCUUGCAAGAAUAAGAGGUCCCGCCUGCCCACUGAUAUUAAUUCAACGGCCGCGGUAUUUUGACCGUGCUAAGGUAGCGUAAUCACUUGUCUUUUAAAUGAAGACCCGUAUGAAAGGCAUAACGAGGGCUUAACUGUCUCCUCUUUCCAGUCAAUGAAACUGAUCUCCCCGUGCAGACGCGGGGAUAAUACCAUAAGACGAGAAGACCCUAUGGAGCUUCAGACAUAAGGUAGACUAUUUCAAACACCCCUCGACAAGGAUUGAAUCUAAUAGAAACCUACCCCUGUCUUAGGUUGGGGCGACCCUGGGGAAACACAAAACCCCCAUGUGGAUAGGGAGAACCCCUAAAAACCCGAGAUACAACUCUAAUUAACAGAAUCUCUGACCAAAAUUGAUCCGGACGAACCCGAUUAACGGAACAAGUUACCCUAGGGAUAACAGCGCUAUCCCCUUUUAAAGUCCAUAUAGACAAGGGGGUUUACGACCUCGAUGUUGGAUCAGGACAUCCUAAUGGUGCAG
rnacentral:rRNA from 1 species